rnacentral:rRNA from 1 species
CCUAUCUCCAUUGGUAGUUCCCCAAAUCAUAGCCAAUCACCUGAAGCUCACUCAAGAAUGAGAGACGAUGAAACCCAAGAAACCGAAGCAGGAAAAUCAUUGAACAAGAAGCUAACAUGCGCAAAUGGGUCAAAUGAUUCUUCCCCACAGCAUGGUGAACUACCACUGCCAGAGGUCUUUACAAGUGUAGGAGAUGCUGAUAUGCAGGAUUCUGUGAAGAGUUUAAGUGAGAAGCUCUCUGCUGCUCUUUUGACUAUCAGUGCUAAAGAGGACUUGGUGAAGCAGCAUGCAAAAGUUGCAGAAGAUGCUGUUGCAGGUUGGGAGCAUGCUGAAGGUGAAGUUAGUAACCUGAAGCGGCUACUUGAUGCUUCAUCUCUGAAGAACGCCUCUCUGGAGGAUCAAGUCAGCCACUUGGAUGGCGCCCUCAAGGAAUGCGUCAGGCAGCUUCGCCAGGCACGAGAAGAACAUGAGGAGAAAAUCCGUGAUGCAGUUGCUAAGAAGUCCCAUGAAUUGGAGUCUGAGAUGUCUGAGCUCCAGAACAAUCUGGCUGACCUGCAACAGCAGCUUGAAGCCUCCGAUCUGCGGGAAAAACUUCAGGUAGCAGAGAAAGAAUGCAAGGAUCUCAAGAUCGAGCUGCUCACGCUAUCCAAGGAAUUGAAGAUGCUUGCACUGGAAAGAGACUUGAGCAGCCAAGAAGCAGAGACAGCGAGCAAACAACACUUGGAAAGUGUGAAGAAAAUUACAAGAGUUGAGGCAGAAUGCCGUAGGUUGCGCCAUGUGACACGUAGAACCUCCCUAGCCAAUGAUUCUUCUAGGCCUGUCCCAAACAAUGCUUGCAUGGAAUCUCUGACUGACAGCCAGUCUGAUAGUGGGGAGCAUAUGCUAGCUAUUGACAGUGAAGUAAAAAAUUCUGAUCUGUGGGCCUCAGCUCUUAUAGCAGAACUCGAUCAGUUCAAAAACGGCAACGAGGGCGCAAGAGAUCUUGUAAACAAUCCUGUUGAAAUUGACCUAAUGGAUGAUUUUCUUGAGAUGGAAAAGCUGGCCGCAUUGCCUGAAGUAGAUCGCACGAGCUCUAGCUUUGGAACAGAAACUGAUUCUGACCGGGCUGUGACCAGAGAUAUCUCAAGAGGCGAAACUGAAGCCCUACAGCACCAGGUUAUGGAUUUGCAAGCAAAGGUUGAAAAGAUCGAACAUGAGAAAAAAGAGCUUGAAAUGGCCCUUGCGGAGGCUAGAAAUCAGCUUGACACGUCAUGUGACCUCAUGGUAGCUGACAGCAAGCUUGUUGACCUGCAGAUGCAGUUAAACUUGGCAAACGAGUCCAAAGAUGCUGCUUUAGGACAAGCUGAGCUGUUAGAUGGUGAGAGGAAGUCAUUGGCAUUUCAGUUGGAAUCAAAGUCAGCAGAAGUUGAGAAGCUUCAGGGUGUGGUGACUAAAUUGGAAGAAUCUGGGAAUAGCAAGGAGUUGGAGUUGCAGUUGCAGUUAGAAUCGACUACUGCAGAGGUAGCAAAUCUUUGCAAGAUGGUAACAUCCUUGGAAGAGAAGAUUGAUGCAGAGAAAACCCUCUUGGUGCAGCACAAAGCAGACUCAGACAUGGCAAAGGCAGCUAAAGACACAUUAGAGGCACAGCUGCGAUCCGCAAACACAGAAAUUGGGCAGCUAAGAGGAAUUAUUAAAACACUGGAGAGUGAGGUGCAAAAGGGGAAGGUGUGUCACAAAGAGCUUGAGGCACAAAUAGAGGCUAUGAAGACUGAAUCAGAGAGAACAUUUUCGGUGGAGUCUGCCAAAGAAUCACUAGAAGCUCAGCUCCUGGUAGCAAACUCAGAAACCGCAAAGCUGCACGUAACGGUGAAUGCACUGGAGUCUGAUGCGGCAAAGGAGAGGGAAUAUUCUUCGGAGGUCAAGAUACAAUUGGAGGCAGUUGAGGGCAUCAGAAAGGUUUUGGGGUCUGAGCUUGAGUCUGCACAUCAGGAGACCAUGAAGCUCCAGGAGAAGGUGUUGUCACUGGAAGUGAGACUUAAAGAGCAGAGUGUGUUGCUGGUAGAAUUCACUGCCAAGGCAGAGGAUGCAAUGUCUGCGAGGAAGGCAAUGGGGAGUCAACUUGAAGAGGCAAAUCAGGAACUCGCGAAACUGACAAACAAGGUGAGCUUGCUACAAGGGAAGAUUGAGCAGGAGAAGCUGCUCUCCGAAGAGUAUGAAGCAAAAUGCCGGAGAUUGGAAGCUCAGCUGUCAAGGGACAGUCGCGAGGCAAAGCUUUGGCGACUCGCCAACACAAAUGGAGACCUGAAGUUCAAGCAGGAGGAGGAGGUCGCCAGUGCUGCAGGGAAGCUCGCUGAGUGCCAGAGGACGAUCGCAAACCUCGGGCUUCAGCUGAAAUCGCUGACGAACCUUGACAGUGUGAUGACCGAGCCUGGCAAGCUGGAAUCCAAGGACACGCUGCUGGACUUCAGAGAAGAUGGCACUGAGCCGCCCGCCGAUGAAUCGUACGGUCUGCAUCUCCCAGUGAGCAACGGGGGCUGCGCCUCGCCUGUUCCUCGGGCGCAGUCCCCGUCAUCACGGCGCUCGGUGUUCUCGGGUUAUCGUCGAUUGGUAGCUACAGGAGCAGAGCAAGGAAGUGAGAUGUGA